UCUCACAGAUCCAAAUCUAAAUUGCACCUACAAUUACACUGGCGAAGGACCUUGCCAGGUUAGAUGUUUCGAGACAAAGGAAAUGUGUAAAAAAACCAGAUAUAAUAAAGAAGUCUGCAGCAAAAUUGAUCCAAUAUCAAGGACAAAGUACACAUCAAACC